UUAUUUUAUUAAUGAGAUUUUUAUGUGGAUAAUAUCUCAAGACUUCCUUUGCUUCUGCUGUUUGUUCGUCACUUGAAGUCGUAAUAAUUUGUUUCUAAAACCACAGCCGGCUGCUAUAAAGGCAGAGGGAGGAAGACCACGAUUUAUGUGGUGAAUGAGAAACAAGAACAGAAGAAUGUAAUAAAUGUUUGUUACUUAAAACUUCAGAUAUUGUUAUGAAAAAGGUAGCAUAAAAAUUAAAUAGGCAGUAUAUCAGCAGGAUCUUUCCGAAACAGAGUUCUGUUAUUUUUUUUCAUGAGUACUUAUGUCUCUUAAAAAUAGCACUAAAUAUCUGAUAAACUUACAAGAGUAAUGAAAUUCAAACUUAAAAACUGCAAAUUGAUCUUUAAAUGACAAUACUGGCGCCUCAUAAGAGUGCUCUGGUUCACAGUUACCUUUUCUCUCUGCCUUGAGACAUCUGAAAGUGUUAUAGGUUUGGUGAAGUACAUUUGUAUUUUACUGUUCCUUUCAACAAUGUUAGUUGCUCUUUUUCUCCUCUGUCUGCAUGAGUCUUCCAUACAGUCACAGGAGAGAAAAGAAAUAGUUGUAAGGGUAAGAAAAGGUGAUUAAUUAAAUUACUUUUGGGACUAUGGGUUGUAUGUAGUGCAUGAAACUACUUAAAGCUACUUUUUAGCUUCUUUGGCACUGGGAUAUUUAAUACAGGUUUGGUCUGAGUGAAGAGUUUUACUUUAUAAAAAUCAGAAUGGAGUAGGAGAAAGAUGUGAAAUGGAGAAAGAGGGAGCAGACUCAGAAAACUUAGCUUUCCAUUGUGUAAACAAAAUAAGGUUUUUUAAUCUGCCACAUAACAAACAAACAGUAAUUCUUCUAGUCACUAGUACAAAAACUAUAUACAAGUGGGGAUUGAAAAUUUUUAUGUACAAUUCAAACCAAAUGCUUUAUUCGUCUUUAAUCUUUGUGUUUUGGGGUAGCACUUCUAGAACAAAUAUUGCUGUACAUGUACAAAUAUGAAUGCUUCUGAGCCAGUUUUAGAGGCAUAUCAUCCAGCUGGAGAUGAAAGGCACAAACUUUAGCAAUCCCUAUUUUUUUCCUGAUACUUUCUACUAUUCAUAAAUGUUGGUUCUGACUGUAUAUCAUCUAUAUAGUAGAUAUUUUAAAUCAAGUUUUAUAUUAGUAGUGAAAAUACUAGCAUUAGGAGUUCUUGACAAUCACAAGCAGAAUAUGUUGUUUCUGACAACUUCAAAUGCAUGUGCUCAAGACAGGGAAGGAUGAGUGAAUUUAUUUUUUAUUUUUCCUUUAGGCAAAGAUCCCUUUCAUGACCAAGGAAGGAGGCAACAACAUUUUUACAGUCUUGUGAAGCGCCUGUUACUAGAAAUGAUUUUCACUUUGUUCCUGAAAAGUGUGCCAAGUUUACUGUUUGAAGUUUGUGAAAUGAUGGGAAGCUGUCCUGCAGCCUGUGAGAAGGACACGGAACAAUAAUCAAGUGGAUGAAAUCUGAAUUCCAAGCUUUCAAGUGAAGAGAAACAAAGACAGUUGUUUGAGACCUAAGAAACCAGGAAGAGAGCUUCAGAUUACGCACAGGAAAGAGGCUCUCAAGGAACAAAUUUUAAUAUAGGACCGCCACAAUUCCACAUCACUACUUACUCUGCAGUGGGACCUGCUUAC